GGGGCUUUAGCUCAGUGAGCGCGCGCUUCGCAUGCGUGAGGUCACCGGAUCGAUCCCGGUAAGCUCCA
rnacentral:tRNA from 1 species